GGGGAAGCAGAGCUGUGGCCGCCUGGCCUUUGGCUGCCCUGUCCUUUGGGAGCUGGAAGGUGAGAGUGGGGCCCAGAAGGGAGGCUCGGAUACUUGGAGCUGCCUCCUGCUUCUCAGGUGUGCUGAAAGACCAGCCAGAGCUUGCCCUGACCCCGGGCCCUUGGAGGGGAGGUGCUGGCUGAGCACGGGGUCCCGGAAGUGCUCCCUCUGGGGAAGCUAGGGGAAAGUACCCCACCUGGCUGGGACUCUGGGCAGGGCUCAGAGUCUGGCCGCCUGUACAAUAGACAGAGUGAGUGGCCGGGUCUCAGCCAGCUGCCGCUCACAGCCCCAGGGCCCCAGGGUUGCCAAGGCCUCGCCCUCCUCUCGGAUUGUGGAUUGUAUUGGGUGACGCAGUUAGGCACCCACGGUGGGGGGAGGAGAAAGUGCCAAGAGCCUCCAGGGCUCUGGGUGACUGGGCCUGUCACCUCAGAGCUGGGAGCCUUGGGGAGGAGGAGGGCUCAGCCAGGACCUGGCCAAGGGGGCAGCGGAGGGAAAGGGGGCAGCAUUACCUGACAGGGGAGGCAGGGUCCUCCUNNNNNNNNNNNNNNNNNNNNNNNNNNNNNNNNNNNNNNNNNNNNNNNNNNNNNNNCCCUCCCUCCCUCCCUCCCUCUCUCCUCCCUUCCUCUCCCAGGUCUGUAGUAAUUGCCUGUUUGUGCCCCACCCCCACUACUCCAGGCUUUGGCUAUAAAGUGGUGAACAUGUCAAGAUCUCCCCAUCCUCAUGGAGCUGACCUUCUAGUAGGAAAGACAAUGACUAGACAACCAUCUGCCAGGAAGUCAGGUGGGUGAGGCCGCCGUCACUGCCCCCCCCCCCCCCCCCCCCCCGCCGAGAAGCGGGGAGAGCCGGGACUGCACCCCAUGCAGAGUGAGGACACGGAGUGAAGGCAGGGGUGACUUACCCAAGACCAACCCAGGAGAAGUGGUGGGGCUGCUAUGCACUCAGUGCUCAGUACUCAGUGCUCAGUACUCCCAGCACUCUCCCUCUUCCCUAGCACGGCCACCGAACAGACCUAUCUGCAAAGCAAAACUCUGUGCCCCUAGGGAUACCAUUUUUUUAAAGGAGGUGUUUAUACCCAGAAAACUAAAAAACAAAAAUCAACUAAACUAAGAAGCUCAGGCUAGGCAAAGAGCUAACUCCGCGGUGUGAAAUGACACUCCUGAGACAGGAGCCUGCGGGUCUAGACAGCCUGGGGAGCUGAGGGCCAGGUGACACUGGCCGCAAACUCUGGCCUUGACCCAAGUUCUCUUUACUGACCCUGGCGAAAGCUGGCCUGUCGCUCCUGGGUCCCCGCAGAUGUGUGAGGGCCCCACCACCCAACCGCGCUGUUGGUACCCUUUGGGCAUCACAAAUACACCCUGGGGGCCCAUGUGUCCCUUCACAGCGGUCUGACCAGGAAGAGAAAAGGCAGUGUCGGGGAUGAGGAAGAUGUGGGCAGGACCACGUGUGUGCAUGCAGGUGUGUGUGUGCAGGGGUGUGUUGGGGGAUGUGGGAGGGUGUAUACCGAGGGGGCCAGCGAGUGGAAGGAUGGGCUGCUGGGCUGGGCGGCUGAUUGUUGAUGGGGGAGGGGUGUGCACCAGCAGUUUCUCUGUUGGAUGAAGCAGUGGACAGGCUCUGACACCCUCUGGAUGCUCUAACUGGCGUUAGAGCAUGCUCAGGCAGAGGUCGGCCUCACCCCUAGAGCUGGUCAGCAUGCCAUUGCCAGGGACUGCUGGGUACGGCCAGGACAGCCCGCAGCCCUUCCCCAGGGCCAGACGAACUAGGCAGGCUGGAGGGUCAGCACAGGGACCCUCCCCAUCCUGUGAGGGUGGCAGGGACCUUCUCAUUGAAGCUGGCACCUUCCAUAGGUCAAGGUUACGGCUGCAGGAUGGACGGGAGGACAGACCAGAACUGAAUGGCCACUAUGGAGAUCAAACCCAGGCAUGGUGAUGCCUUUCCGAACGUGGACCUCUGAUCCUCUGCUCGAGUCUCUGGGCAGAUGGUUACAACGCAGAUUCCUGGCACCCCCCACACCCCCACGCCCGGCCCACUGAAUCAGAAUCUGAGGGACGUUGUCAUUGACAUAAGUCCUGCAGGUGUGUGCUGGGAGGCGGGGCCAAGGAGGAGGUUUUCCAACUGCUGGACUGUUCCUUACACGUUCUCCGCAUCAGCCAGUUUCAACAGCGGCAGAGCAUGCCAAGGACUAGAGACACCGCUGUGCAGGUAGCUGUCCCUACUCUCAGGCACUUGGGACUCUUCCAUGUUAUGGAUAAUGUGGGCGUGAACAUCCUUAUGCACGCUUGCCCUUAUGCGGACUCGUGCCUUAAAGUCCAUUCUCAGAACAAAGGACGAAAAGGGUAUGAACAUUUUUAUG
rnacentral:lncRNA from 1 species